rnacentral:rRNA from 1 species
UGCGUAGGCGGCGCGGUAAGUCGGGUGUGAAAUCUCGGAGCUUAACUCCGAAACUGCAUUCGAUACUGCCGUGCUUGAGGACUGGAGAGGAGACUGGAAUUUACGGUGUAGCAGUGAAAUGCGUAGAGAUCGUAAGGAAGACCAGUGGCGAAGGCGGGUCUCUGGACAGUUCCUGAUACUGAGGCACGAAGGCCAGGGGAGGCAAACG